UCUGAUCUUUUUAUGUUCCUCAGCUUUUGCACUGUGGGGGCUGUUUGUAUGCAGAUCUUAUCACUCAUUUUCCCAGCACUAAACACACUUUUCUCAUCCUUAGAAAAGUUUCUCUUUGUCUGCAGCAGUGCUGAUAUGAGAGUGGCAGCAGGUUAAGCAUCAACAUCCCGUUUAAGUUACAAAGCGAGCACAGCUCGUUUCUGAUGACAUCCCCUGGAGCCAAGACGAGGAGAAGAGGGAUUUCUCUCACUCAGCUCCCUGAUGCAUCCAUGGAGCAUCUGCUCCUGAAACACCUUUCACAAAGCCUCCAGUGAAACAGCCAGAGGACUGGGCAAAGGCCCUGGUUUGUGUCCCUGGCUGUGUCACCUGUGGGAGCUCUGCACACCCCGAACCCUCCCUGUGUUGGAGCAGCGUGUUCCCCUCCGUGGCCCAGCUCUGCAGCAGCAGAUCUGCGCUCUGUCUGUGCUGCUAAUGAAUAGCAGCCUCUCUGAAACCAUGUGUGACAGCCCAGCUGUAAUUGCGUUUCAGAAAGGGGAAAGCACGUGUGUGCCCAAGCCACCCAUAAUUACUGCUCUGAAAUGCCUGGGGAGAACCACAUCGGUUGUUUUGAUGCUUCUGCCCCGAGACAGGAUCGACACACCACCAGCAAACUGAUGGAAGGGAAAUGGCCCCUGGGUGAGUUAGACCUCAUCCAUGCUCGUCAGGCUAAUUAACUCAUCAGCAAGGACUGAAUCCAGCCUCCUGGUAAGUGAUAUCUAAAUCACUGCUGCAAGGAGAGGAUGAAAUAUGGGCGCAUGAGAGGGGAGACAAGGGAUGUGACUGAGGAGGAAAAAGUCACAGAGCAAGAAGAAAUAUGGACAAGGUGUGUGAAAUGGGCCACGUUCCUCAGAGCUGCUGUCACUGCCGUGGUUCAGGUGUGGUUCAGGACGUGUGUGCAUGGACACGGAUCUCUGCCUCUGGCCAUGGAACAGCGAGAGGCUCCGAUGGGAGCGUGUGGCUCUGCUCUGUGCACGUACACGGCGACUUGGGUGCUCUUUACACACACAGGGGCACUCUGAAACAAUCUGGAAAUCCACAUUUGUUCAUGCUCAGCAGCUGGCUUUUGCCAGCAGUGAUAUUCCUGCAGCCUGUACUCAGCUGGAGCAGUCUCAUCAGCACUUCACUGUGUUCCUGGUGACUGCUCAGCCUGGGGCAUUUGGAUCUUUGAAAGGGGACAAAAAAGGAGCAGCGUGGAUAGGUUGCCCAUUAAGAUCAUCUAGUUCAACCCCUGUUUUUGGGACUAGACUGUCACCAGC